GGGCUGUAGCUCAGCUGGGAGAGCACCUGCUUUGCAAGCAGGGGGUCAGCGGUUCGAUCCCGCUCAGCUCCACC
rnacentral:tRNA from 1 species